GAAUGCUGACAUAAGUAACGAUAAAGCGGGUGAAAAGCCCGCUCGCCGGAAGACCAAGGGUUCCUGUCCAACGUUAAUCGGGGCAGGGUGAGUCGACCCCUAAGGCGAGGCCGAAAGGCGUAGUCGAUGGGAAACGGGUUAAUAUUCCCGUACUUGGUGUUACUGCGAAGGGGGGACGGAGAAGGCUAUGUUGGCCGGGCGACGGUUGUCCCGGUUUAAGCGUGUAGGUGUGUGUUCCAGGUAAAUCCGGUUCACUUUAACACUGAGGCGUGAUGACGAGGCACUACGGUGCUGAAGCAACAAAUGCCCUGCUUCCAGGAAAAGCCUCUAAGCAUCAGGUAACAUCAAAUCGUACCCCAAACCGACACAGGUGGUCAGGUAGAGAAUACCAAGGCGCUUGAGAGAACUCGGGUGAAGGAACUAGGCAAAAUGGUGCCGUAACUUCGGGAGAAGGCACGCUGACACGUAGGUGAAGUGAUUUACUCAUGGAGCUG
rnacentral:rRNA from 1 species